AUGAAAGCCACAAGUGAUUGCGGGCCCAGCCAGUGGUGUGUUGGUGCGAUGCCACCCCACUCGACACUGCCUUUCAGGCGUCUCAUCUGGUCCUUGGCCUCCAGUCGGCUGGUUCCCAGAAGACACAGCGGGCAUAGCCUCCUGCAUACAGCUCCAGAAGCCCACACAGAUGGGAUUGCCCCCGUGUUCAUCCGCGCCCUGGCCUUUGGGGACAGGAUUGCCCUUAUUGACAAACAUGGCCGUCACACCUACAGGGAGCUUUAUGACCGCAGCCUUUGCCUGGCCCAGGAGAUCUGCAGGCUUCGGGAUUGUAAGAUUGGGGACCUCCAGGAGGAGAGGGUUUCCUUCCUGUGCUCCAAUGACGUCUCCUAUGUUGUAGCUCAGUGGGCCUCCUGGAUGAGUGGCGGCAUCGCUGUCCCGCUCUACUGGAAGCACCCCGCGGCCCAGCUGGAGUAUUUCAUCCAGGACUCCCGGAGUUCUGUGGUCUUGGUGGGCCAGGAGUACUUGGAUCGGCUAAGUCCAGUGGCCCAGAGGCUGGGAAUCCCUCUUCUGCCUCUCACGCCUGCCAUCUACCGUGGAGCAGUGGAGCAGCCCCUACAGCAGCCGGUUCAAGAGAGGGAAUGGCGUGACCGGGGUGCUAUGAUCUUCUACACCAGUGGGACCACGGGGAGGCCCAAGGGUGCACUGAGCACCCACCGAAACUUAGCAGCUGUGGUGACUGGGCUGGUCAACGCGUGGGCGUGGACAAAGAAUGAUGUGAUCCUUCAUGUCCUCCCGCUGCACCAUGUCCACGGUGUGGUCAACAAGCUGCUCUGUCCACUCUGGGUAGGAGCCACCUGUGUGAUGCUGCCCGAGUUCAGUGCUCAGCAGGUUUGGGAAAAGUUCUUGAGCACAGAAACUCCACGGAUUAAUGUAUUUAUGGCAGUACCCACGAUCUACAGCAAACUGCUGGACUACUACGACAAGCACUUCACACAGCCCCACGUCCAGGACUUUGUGCGUGCAGUUUGUAAAGAAAAGAUUAGGCUCAUGGUGUCAGGCUCGGCUGCCCUGCCCGUCCCCCUGCUGGAGAAGUGGAAGAGCGCCACGGGCCACACACUGCUGGAGCGCUAUGGCAUGACGGAGAUUGGCAUGGCCUUAUCCAACCCCCUGACGGAGGCUCGCCUGCCAGGUUCGGUGGGGACCCCAAUGCCAGGAGUGGAAGUACGCAUUGUCUCGGAAAACCCGCAGAAGGAUUCUCCCUACAUCAUCCAUGCAGAGGGAAAUGAGAGGGAGACAAAGGUGACCCCAGGGUUCGAGGAAAAGGAAGGAGAGCUGCUAGUUAGGGGACCCUCUGUGUUCCGAGAAUACUGGGAUAAGCCGGAUGAAACGGAAAAGGCUUUCACUCCGGAUGGCUGGUUCAGAACAGGGGACACCGCCGUGUUCAAGAACGAUAGGUACUGGAUCCGAGGGCGUACAUCAGUGGACAUCAUCAAGACUGGAGGCUACAAAGUCAGCGCCCUGGAGAUUGAGCGGCACCUGCUGGCCCACCCCAGCAUCACCGAUGUGGCUGUGAUUGGAGUUCCGGAUAUGACGUGGGGCCAGCGGGUCACAGCUGUGGUAGUCCUUCAAGAAGGACACUCACUGUCCCACAAGGAUCUCAAGGAGUGGGCCAGGGUGACCUCACCGCAGCCCAGUGUUCUCCAGGAGGUGCCACAGCCUGGCAUGUGUCCUUGUAACUGUUAGUGCCGGUGGUGUGGGUACCAGAAGCCAGAGGCUGAAGAGCUCUGUGUCUGUGAAGCUCAAUUCCCAGCCAAAAGCUUCACCAGAAGAUAAGUAUCCUCGAGGGACACUCCGAGAAGUGCACAAAAGUCCUUUCCAGUGGGGAGGGACACUCCCAGCUGACUUCAUGGGACCCACGACCCUGCUACCAAAACCAGACAAGAAACCCAGACCAGUUUCCUGUCAGACAGACACAUAAUGCUUAACCAAAUGCUGGAAAUUAGGUCCCAUUCACAAAAGAGCCAACGCAUCAUGAUCGUGUGGCAUUUAUACCAGGAAUGUGAGGUUAAACAUUCAGAAAUCCAUCCAUGUGGCGUGCCAUGUUUACAGAGUAAAAGCCGCGCAGUUGUUCCCGUAGACACAGAGAGCACAUGUCUAGAUCCCAGUGCCACUGCGGAAAUUCUCAGCAGGAUAAGAGAAGAGACACCCCGAGCCGGGGAAAGAUGUGUGCUCUAAGAAUGGGCAUCUCUCCUGUGCUCAGGAACAAGCACCCCCUGCCGCCUCUUUCCAGUCCCAGCCAGACAUACAGUUCAUCUGAUGUUAACAUGUCUGUUACUUGUGAUGGGGCCAGACAGUGGUUGUGCCGUGCCUCCCUGUGUGGUUCUGGGUGCCCGCUGGCCACAUCACUGCACUGUGGAGGUUUGUACACAGCCCCCAUAUCACACUGCACAAAACCUCCAUGUAAAAAGCUGCCCAGUUUCUACACAGAAGUACACAGGCUAGGCAAACGUAACGAGACUAAAGAAGAAAGGUGGGGGCACCAGGAAGCAGAACAGGACCAGAGUUGCACAGAGGGAGAUGGGCGCUGGGAGGCCUGGGGUCCCUUGUGGGGUCUCUACAAGGAGUCUCUGGGGUAAAAAUCAUAGGGAGGUGGGUGGAGAAACAAGGCCCAAGUGCCACAGGGCGCCUAGCUCUGCUGGGGUGUCUGAGCAGUCACUUCAGAUGACCGGGAAAGCUGUCACAUAAGCGUCAUCGGCAUCUGCUUGUAGCAUAAGCGCUAGUGGGUUUUCAGGUAGGAGCACAGUGACCUAGAAGCCCACGCGUGGCCUAAAGUGUAAAGAUUGUGUCUGAAGUUAGAAAUCCUGAAUGUGUCCCGGCCCUGGGUAAAGUCUAGACCAGCUGCCUCUGGUCUGGAACUUAGGGCAGGCUAGGGUCCUACUCCAGGCCUCACACAUGAUCUCUGCGUAGGUUGUCCCUGUACUGGAACAGAACACCUGCCGGGGUCACCUGUGCUCAGAGUACACCCCUGUCUCUGUGCCAGCUGAGACUCUGGUCAGGACUGCAGCUUUCUCCUACCAAGAGGAUUGUCCCCAUCUGAUUAAAUUCUGGUGGUGACUUCUCAUACUUAACCGUGCUUGUCACCUACAGGGGCCACUCUGCUGUGCCAGAGUCACCUCGGAAGGGAACAGCGUCAGGCAAGCCUGUGGUCAGUUCCCUCCAGGGCAGCAUGAGACCAGGGACCCCGCUGCCUCCUCCUUCCCUGGCUCUCUCCUCUCACUGUGUCCAGUCAGUCAGUCUGCUGCCUUCCACCACCUAACUUCGCAGGCCUUGGAGCCAGAAGGCAGGGAACAGUCUUCCCUCCAAAGGGCAAGGUGGCCAUACCGUUACCACCCAACAGAGUCUGGAGGUGUCCUGGCACCCUAUGCUGUGCCCUCCGAGCUCCUGCUGGUGGAGGAAAUCCCACGGAACCAGAUGGGCAAGGUGAAUAAGAAGGAACUACUCAGACAAUUCUACCCCUCGU